rnacentral:lncRNA from 1 species
UCGCAAUUGGCAGGCAGAAGAACCCAUGGCACUCCCAAGAAGGCUUGGUUCCUGCCACUCGCCUCCCCUGCCACGCCCCUGUGGGCUGGGCAUAUCAGCAAUAGCAUAGAUUGUCAUCUUGCAAGUCCCCAAGGCCCCUCUUUAUGUGACAUGCAGAAGUCCAGCUGGGCAGUGAAAAAUGCGGUCUGUCAUCUAGAUGUGUUUUCCUAUGUGUUGUCUGUUUUGUGAAUGCAUGCAACUGUCCGGGUGAUGAACUGACUUUUGAGCUUGUCAUUGUUGCAUUCCAGCCAGCACACCAUUGACAGAGAAGUGAGGAGCAAGUGGUUCAGCAGUUCAGUAAAUAUGGCGGUCAACCUGAAACACUCUGCCCACUUGAGGAAGACUUGACUGUCAUCUGCACCCCGCAAGACAUAUGUUCUGCACAUUGCCUUCCUGCUCCUUCUGCGACCACAGGGAGAGGAAGCACGGCUGCUGCAAGAGCUGCCAAAAGGCAGGGAGCAAGAGCUAAUUCCACAACAAGAGCAAGCUCACAGUCGGUGAUCUCAGUGUCAGAGUCCCACUCUACCCUCUUGGGAUCCUAUGUAUCUGAGCUGCUCUAUGUUUAAUCAUCAUCAUGUCACCAUCAAAAAUAUUUAUUAAACCGCUGCAUACAUA